rnacentral:rRNA from 1 species
UACGUAGGGGGCAAGCGUUAUCCGGAAUCACUGGGUGUAAAGGGUGCGUAGGCGGUAGGGCAAGUCAGAUGUGAAAACCCGGAGCUCAACUUCGGGAUUGCAUUUGAAACUGUCCUACUAGAGUGCAGGAGAGGAAAGCGGAAUUCCUAGUGUAGCGGUGAAAUGCGUAGAUAUUAGGAAGAACACCAGUGGCGAAGGCGGCUUUCUGGACUGUAACUGACGCUGAGGCACGAAAGCGUGGGUAGCGAACAGGAUUAGAUACCCUGGUAGUCCACGCCGUAAACGAUGAGUGCUAGGUGUCGGGUCCGACAGGAUUCGGUGCUGAAGUCAACGCAUUAAGCACUCCACCUGGGGAGUACGUUCGCAAGAAUGAA